GACUCAGAGAGCAGCAGUUGGAAAUCAGGACCAGCGUCCACACCAGAGUGCAGUAGGGGGGAGGAGUCCCAGGCAUCGGGAUCAGGCGGCGCACUGCCAGUGGGAGGACAUGAGUCAGGAUUGGCCACGCCUCCAUCGGGGAGCGAGGAAACGGUCGAGAGGAAGGUUGAAGGCUGGGCGCGCGCGCCAGGUUCAAAUGUACAGGAGGGCGGCGCAGUUGGCAGCCCGGAUAGGGAGCCAGGUCCCAAAGCCCGCCGAAAAGAGGGGAGGAGUCAGGGGGUCAGCGUCAGAAGAAUCCAGGAAGGAAGGGACCCCGGGGGGUAGCAGGACCCAGAGGAGAAAGGAGAGACGUAAGAGGUGGAGUAAGGCUAGAGUCUUAAACUGGGGUACAGGGCGGAGACUCAGAUGGAGCUUCGCCGAUCUAACCCCUAGACGUAGAGCUGGGGCGCUCCGGCUUGAAAAUGGAAACUGUACUUCAAUAAAGACUUUUGUACAUUACUGCCGGCUAGCGUUGGUCCUCUGUGAGCUGGGACCUGGAGCCAGCUCUGACAAUUAUGUUUUUAUACAUGUUGGAAGCCACCCAGAGUGGUUGGGGAAACUUAGCCAGAUGGGUGGGGUAUAAAUAAAAUCACCACCACCAUCAUCAACAUCAUGGCUGGUUGGUGGAUUAUCAGUUAAGGAUCCCACUUUUCCAAGCAAAGCAUAGAGCCCUACAUAACCUCAUGAAGUAGUGUCAAUGGCAAGGCAAGUGGAAAGCAAUUGCUUCAGAUUGCUGCAUAGUGCAGACCCUGGGACUAAUAAAAAAUAUGUUAGCAUUAGCCUUUACAGCCCCAAACAGCUUGGCACCACAUUAUUUGAAGAAUUAUUUAGAGAAGCCAUCUUGGUUUCUGAUUUGAUCCCGGAAUGUCCCACUUUUCCUUAGGAUGUCCCUAUUUUUAUUGGACAAAUGUUGGAGGGUAUGAAGUUAUCCAACCCCCAAACCAUCUGAAAGCAAUCCUGUAUAGGGAAGUUUUUUAAAUGUUUAAUGUUUUAUUAUAUUUUUAUAUAUGUUGGAAGCUUCCAAGAGUGGCUGGGGCAACCCAGUAAGAUGUGUAGGGUAUAAAUAUUAAAAUUAUCAUUAUGGAAUGGGACAUCCCUAUUUUCAUUGGAGAAAUGUUGGAGGGUCUAUUUUGGAAGGAGGUUAAGAAUAUUUUAUUUGCCUCGGCUUUUUCUGUUUUAAAAAUGUGGCUGGAUGCUUUUCAUACCUUGAACACUAGGUUUCAUCCUAAUGCUUAAAUCUGUUUUUACAUUUUAUGUUCAUAUUUGUCAGGGGUUCAGGAGCAGAGGCACAGGAAAGGGAGGAAAUAGAGAGCGAGGGGGAGGAGUCCGAAGGAAAUGUUAGCGAUGACAGCGGUCCGAGGUCUCUGAGUCUUUCCAGCGAAUCGGAAGAUUCACAGAAAGGGGCUCCCUUGGUCAGAGCAAGGGGGUGCCGAGGGGACACCCCAGGAAGAAGGGGCCAGAGGGGACUCAGAGAGCAGCAGUUGGAAAUCAGGACCAGCGUCCACACCAGAGUGCAGUAGGGGGGGAGGAGUCCCAGGCAUCGGGAUCAGGCGGCGCACUGCCAGUGGGAGGACAUGAGUCAGGAUUGGCCACGCCUCCAUCGGGGAGCGAGGACACGGGCGAGAGGAAGGUUGAAGGCUGGGCGCGCGCGCCAAGUUCAAAUGUACAGGAGGGCGGCGCAGUUGGCAGCCCGGAUAGGGAGCCAGGUCCCAGCGCCCGCCGAAACGAGGGGGAGGAGUCAGGAGGGUCAGCGUCAGAAGAAUCCAGGAAGGAAGGGACCCCGGGGGGUAGCAGGACCCAGAGGAGAAAGGAGAGACGUAAGAGGUGGAGUAAGGCUAGA
rnacentral:lncRNA from 1 species